rnacentral:rRNA from 1 species
AGCCAAAAAGCUAGCCCCCCCCCACCAAAGAAAACAAAUCAUUAUUAAUACCCCCAAAUACACCACCCUUAAACAAACAAACCAUUUUUCCCCCUUAGUAUGGGCGACAGAAAAG